rnacentral:rRNA from 1 species
AUUGACCGCUGGCGGCAGGCCUAACACAUGCCAGUCGAGCGGAGCGGCGGACGGGUGCGUAAUGCCUAUGAAUCUGCCUGGUCGUGGGGGAUAACGUCCGGAAACGGGCGCUAAUACCGCAUACUAUCAGAUGAGCCUAGGUCGGAUUAGCUAGUUGGUGGGGUAAAGGCCUACCAAGGCGACGAUCCGUAACUGGUCUGAGAGGAUGAUCAGUCCAACUGGAACUGUGACACGGUCCAGAAUACAGCGGUAGGCAGCAGUGGGGAAUAUUGGACAAUGGGGGAAAGCGUGAUCAAGCCAUGCCGCGUGUGUGAAGAAGGGAUUCGGAGUGUAAAGCACUUUAAGUGGGGAGGCGUUACAAACAGAAUAAGCACCGGCUAACUUCGUGGUAGCAGCCGCGGUAAUAC